rnacentral:rRNA from 1 species
GACGAACGCUGGCGGCGUGCCUAACACAUGCAAGUCGAACGGAGCAGAGACUUCGGUUUUUGCUUAGUGGCGAACGGGUGAGUAACGCGUGAGAAACCUGCCUUUCAGUGGGGGACAACAGUUGGAAACGACUGCUAAUACCGCAUAAUGUAACGAGAUCGCAUGGUCUUGUUACCAAAGCUUUAUGUGCUGAAAGAUGGUCUCGCGUCUGAUUAGCUAGUUGGUGAGGUAACGGCUCACCAAGGCGACGAUCAGUAGCCGGUCUGAGAGGAUGAACGGCCACAUUGGGACUGAGAUACGGCCCAG